CAUCGUGCGUCGGGAGAAGGGGCCACCCCUACCGAAGGAGCAACCGCCCCGGGAAACUCUCAGGUAAACGGACCUUCGCACGGUC
rnacentral:ncRNA from 2 species